UCCCGAAUAGCUCAGUCGGUUAGAGCAUCUGACUGUUAAUCAGAGGGUCGCUGGUUCGAGCCCAGCUUCGGGAGCCU
rnacentral:tRNA from 8 species